AACGAACGCUGGCGGCAGGCCUAACACAUGCAAGUCGAGCGCCCCGCAAGGGGAGCGGCAGACGGGUGAGUAACGCGUGGGAAUCUACCCAUCCCUACGGAACAACUCAGGGAAACUUGAGCUAAUACCGUAUACGCCCUUCGGGGGAAAGAUUUAUCGGGGAUGGAUGAGCCCGCGUUGGAUUAGCUAGUUGGUGAGGUAAUGGCGCACCAAGGCGACGAUCCAUAGCUGGUCUGAGAGGAUGAUCAGCCACACUGGGACUGGGACACGGCCCAGACUCCUACGGGAGGCAGCAGUGGGGAAUAUUGGACAAUGGGCGCAAGCUUGAUCCAGCCAUGCCGCGUGAGUGAUGACGGCCCUAGGGUUGUAAAGCUCUUUCAACGGUGAAGAUAAUGACGGUAACCGUAGAAGAAGCCCCGGCUAACUUCGUGCCAGCCGCCGCGGUAACAC
rnacentral:rRNA from 1 species